UACGUAGGCAGCAAGCGUUGUUCGGAGUUACUGGGCGUAAAGGGUGUGUAGGCGGUUGUUUAAGUCUGGUGUGAAAUCUCCCGGCUCAACCGGGAGGGUGCGCCGAAUACUGAAUGACUUGGAGUGCGGGAGAGGAAAGUGGAAUUCCUGGUGUAGCGGUGAAAUGCGUAGAUAUCAGGAGGAACACCAGUGGUGUAGACGGCUUUCUGGACCGUAACUGACGCUGAGACACGAAAGCGUGGGUAGCAAACAGG
rnacentral:rRNA from 1 species